GUCUUCUCUUCAAAGCACCCUGCUCAAACUGCAGGAGCCGAGCCUUCUGGGUCUGGCUCCCGCGGCCGUGUAAGCACGGGUACACCAGGGAAGGAGAGUAAAAGCCACGGCGUCGGAAACGAGGCUGGGAGGGACCUCUUUCUUAAUGUCCAUUUUCCUUUGCCUCAAGAUCCCGUGCUACACGU
ensembl:snoRNA